rnacentral:rRNA from 1 species
CAGUCGCCGCGGUAAUACGUAGGUCCCGAGCGUUGUCCGGAUUUAUUGGGCGUAAAGCGAGCGCAGGCGGUUAGAAAAGUCUGAAGUGAAAGGCAGUGGCUCAACCAUUGUAGGCUUUGGAAACUGUUUAACUUGAGUGCAGAAGGGGAGAGUGGAAUUCCAUGCGUAGCGGUGAAAUGCGUAGAUAUAUGGAGGAACACCGGUGGCGAAAGCGGCUCUCUGGUCUGUAACUGACGCUGAGGCUCGAAAGCGUGGGGAGCGAACAGGAUUAGAUACCCGCGUAGUCCCUGUCUCUUAUACA